rnacentral:other from 1 species
GGGCUUCUGCUCUUCUCGUGAACGAGACAAUUCCAGUGGCCUUAAGCAAAUCCGAGGGAGCUGGCUCUGUCCGAGCCCUGGUUCGGUUAUCUGGCGCCCACCUGUAAUUACAGGUCCUCGGGAAUUCACACUCCCACGGAUGCAGCGGUUCCCGC